AGGACGAACGCUGGCGGCGUGCUUAACACAUGCAAGUCGAGCGAGGACUUGUUCCUAGCGGCGAACGGGUGAGUAACACGUGGGCAACCUGCCCCGGGCUCUGGGAUAACUCCGGGAAACCGGAGCUAAUACCGGAUAUUCACUGCAGGAGGCAUCUUUUGUGGUGGAAAGUUUUUUCGGCUCGGGAUGGGCCCGCGGCCUAUCAGCUUGUUGGUGGGGUAGUGGCCUACCAAGGCGACGACGGGUAG
rnacentral:rRNA from 1 species